GUCGGUCGGACUAAAAUUGAAUCGAAAAUCGCAGAAGGUUGUUUAGGGUUCAUCCCGCUCCCCGUCUCUCUCGCAUCUCUAUCUUGAUUUACCUGAAUUUCCCCUCUAGGGUUAGGGUUCUUGCCAUCACUCGCCGUGCAGUGGUGAAGCCAACCUUACUCAAUUGGAUAACUAUUUUUUCUCCGAGGCAACACGUUAGCAAAUGAUUUCCCUGGAUUGAUCCAAUUGGUGAUGGCAGAGGAGUUUUGGAUUAAAAUUUACAGUAAAUAUUGAAGAUUAAAACCGCGAAAGGAGUUACUGAAAGAUGUACGCUGGGCAAGGCAACUAUGCUCCACAGUUCAGGCCGCCUUCUGUGCCAUCUCCUCCUCCUUACCAACAAGCUUCGUCUGGUCCAGCACCUCCUUUCCUGCAAACCCCUCCUGGUCCUAUACCUCCACCAGUCCCUCAAGCACCUCCAUAUUUUGGCCGAUCGAUGGCUUCUCAGGCACAACCUGUCCACUUCCCGCACCCUCCUGUGAACUCCUCACAGCCUUACUUGCAACCGCCACCACCGCCACCGCUACCACCACCGCCGCCACCACCACCGCCAACUCCCUCAAAUGGAAAUGCAUCUGUAGUCCCUCCUUAUCCACUGGCUGGUCUUCCUGUACCCAUGCCUUUGCCACCAGCUCCUAGGAUGCUUCAGCCCCCACUGGUGCCUAAUUCCCACCAUCAAGGACAAGCUGUAUAUCAUAGUCUUCAUCCACCCCAUCCCGGGAUUCCUCAUGCUCCUCCCCGGAUUCCAUGGCCUGCUAAUGCACCAAACCCACCUCCUUCACAUCCUAAUUUAGAAUUUACAAUCCCUACACCAUUCAGAGGGAAGAACCCUGCAAUAGAUGCACAUCCACCUGCAAUUCUACCCCCACCACCAGGUCCACCACCUCCACCUCCUCCACCACCAUCAUCUCCCCCACCACUUCCACCUUCACCUCCAGCUUCGACACCUGUCUUAGAUGUAAUUCCAAGUGAUCCCCUGAAAGCUCUUACUACAGAUUCUAAGGAAGAUUCAAAUGCUUCAGAUCAUAUUGUUGAUAAUGCACCAGUUCAUCAUGUUGAUAUUGGUAAAGGUUUUAGAGAAGGGAACAAGGCUCCUCUGGUUGACGGAGAAGCUUCGGAGAAUAUUGAAUUGCCUCCACCAAGGCCAGAUGAAGUUGUUGUUCGAAGCAUAGAGGUAUUGUGUCAGUUCAUUGUGAAGGUUGGGCCUGAUUUUGAGAUCACUGCUCGAGCUAAGGAGGUUGGAAAUCCACACUUUUCUUUCUUGUUUGGUGGUGAACCCGGUAGUGCAGCUGCCAUUGGGCAUGAGUAUUUUCAGUGGAUGAAAAAGAAGUAUGUUGCUGUAAUGGAGUCUCCUAAGGGCGUCAAGCACAAUAUUUUACCCUUGAUUACUCCGAUGGCUGAUGUUUCUUCGCAAGCUGGAAACUUGGAGUGUGUGGAUGCGGCACAUUCACCUGCUAUAUCAGACAUGGACAUGGAGGAUGAUAUCACUCCAGCUGACACAGAUAAGGGUUAUGGCAAUACGAAUGAAGAGUCUGAUGUUUCUACUCGGGCGGUUUCACAUGCAUCGGACAAUGCAGAAGAGCAAUUCCAAGCUAACAUUCAUGUGGCUAGUGAAGCAUCUUCUCCUGCUGUAUCUCUCGUUGAUGCUGAAGAUGAGAAAGAAUCCUUAGUUUUUGAAGACGUUAGUCCCGAGAGGAGCUCACCUGAUACUGCUGGCCUAGGUGACAGAACACCCGCAUCAAGCAGAUUCCCUAUUGUAGAUUCAAUAAAGGGGGAGCUUUUGUCGAAUACUGAAAAUGUUAAUUCCCAAGUGGUCUCAGGGGUGUUUCUUAAAAGCCCUUUCCGUCUGAUACAGGAUUAUGCCUCAGAUGAAAGUGAGGAAAUUAUUAGAAGUGGUAAUGAUGAAGACUUUAACCCUAUGAGACUUUCUCCAGCCACUGCAACAGCUACUUCAGAGUUGCAGCAAGAGAAGCAAUCUGAGUUAUGCUCAAACUAUGGUGGUCAAGAUUUUACUGAGGUUCCAAAUGAAUCUGGAUAUAAUACUGCUUUGUGUCAGCUUUCUCCUUCAAUGCCACAAGGAACUCGUAGAUCUCCAGAAAAAUCAUCACCGUCAGUCAGCAUCGGCCACUUUGAUAUAAUAAGCAAAACUGUAGAUCCUGAUAUUCAUCCAGUUGAACAUUUGGAAAAUGAUGGAAGAGAAACAUUCAGGCCUUCUGAAUAUGAUGAUUUUGAAAGAAGAAAAAUAAAUGCUGAUCAAGAAAAUGUGGAACUUAAUUCAAAAGAGAGCUUAAUGGAGAAGCAGGCAUUUGAUGAUGUUGAUGAAUUUGGGCGUUUGAUAAGAAAAGAUGUGAGUCCUAGUGACUCCGAUGAGAGUCAAUAUGGCAAGCGACGUGGUAAGAAAGGUAGGAAUUGGAGUAGGAGCAUGAGCAGAUCACCUCAGGGAAGUAGGAUGCGGCGUAGGAGUCGCAGUCCAAGGAGGAGAGAUAAGCGAAGUAGAUCUCGCAGCUGGUCCCCCAAAAGAGGAAGGAGUAGGUCUCCCCCAUUGUUCCGGCCUAAUAUGUCUGCGAGACAUGGUCGGGACUUGCUUCAUGAAUGCUUGGACUUCAACCGCGGAAAAUGUUUUCGUGGAGCAUCUUGUCGGUACCUCCAUCGUGAUUUCAGACAACACCCCAACAUGCAAAGGCGCUAUCCAGAUCCACGAAAGCCUCGAUAUCACAAUACUUCUGAUGAUGCGUUCUUGCCAAGAAUUGGCCGUCGUGAUAAUAUUUGUGCUGCUGAUUUGCAUCCUUUAAAGAGUGAAAUAUUCGUUGAUGGAAUGGAUUAUGAGAAACAGGUUUACGAGGGGCAGUACGAUGCUAGAACAGACACUGUUUUUCAUAAUUUUUCAGACGAAAAGGAUAAAGUAGUGCCAACAUCAGAAACAGAAGACACUAUCAACCAGGCGUCUCAGGAAGCAAUUAGUCGGGAAUUGGAGCCACCAGUUGAGCACAUUCUUGCUUCUGUUGAGGGUGAGAGCACCGGGCCACCACCUGAAUCCUCCGAGCCUAAAAAAGCCGACAACUGUCCGGUUCAUAGUUCCGGUGAUGGACAUGCUCUGUUUCAACAACCUAGCUCAGGUGGUGAUGUUUCUUUUCAAGCUUCUCAGUCCACCACCCAUGACAAUGCUUCAGAAGCUGAAAAGUCUAGUCAGCUUGCUCAUGUUCAGUCUUCUUCUUCGCCACAUCAUUCACCUGAUCAAAUAAGCCUCUCUGCAAAUGAUUCAAUUCAGGAUUUAACACGUGUGGGUGAAAAUAUUGCGGUUGAGACAACAACACACGAAAAUAUUGCUACUUCUUCCUACUCACAUGGUGUUACCUCAAUAAAACCAUCAAUCCAACCUCUUCAUGAAGAAUUUUUGCAGCCCCUUUUGCCAUCUGGGGCGAACCUCCAGUCAAGUCAACCAUUGUUUUGGCCACCACAUGAAAUGCGACCGAUGCGCAUGCCGAGCAAUAGUUUGACUGGUUUAUCUUCGUCGCAACAUUUUAGAGAAAAUGUCAUCCCGCCAAUGACAAGCUACCAGUCUCAGCCGGCACCAUCUCAUACGCUUUAUCCCCCUCGACCUCCUUUCCCUGACAAUCCAUUCUCUAAUAAUCCGCUUCAGCCAAACCUUGCAUGGUCUGAUCUAACCCUCCCACCACCUCAAAAUAUGUUUGCAUUGCUCAGUAGGCCACCCUUUCCUUCUUCAGAAAUGCCACUGAGAAAUGACUUCAUGCCUUCAGCCAGGCCCUAUCCAUCUGGCGACUUUCCUCGUUCUCGGCCAUCCGAUUUUUUUCCCCCGUCUUUUCAUUCGGUGUCAUCCUGCCAUCCUCCACGACAUCAAUCUUUUCCGAACGAACAAGGUAUUAUGCAAUUACAGAACCAAAGACUUGCCCCUGCUAGUUCUAUGCCUUUGGUUAGGUCCUUCCAUGGAGAAGAAAUUUUUAUGCCACGUAUAAGAGAUGCACAUCAUUCUCAUCCGCCAUUACUGAGAUACCCAGAUAACUACUUCCAACCACAGCCCUCUGAUGGAGGUUUAUCUAUCUUUCCUAUCAAAGAGCAUGUCAACCCAUUUGCUUCCACCUUCGAAAAUCCACUUAGAGGCUCCGGCAUCCAUGGACCAGAGAUCAGAAGAUAUGAUUCUGCUCCCAGUUCUGGUAGUAUUCCCAUUCUUGGUAUUGGAUUUGGGAUGAGAGCAUCCCCGAAUAGUUCAAUGAGAUUAGGUGAGCAGAUUCUGCCUAAAGUCGGGAGUUACGUACAUGAAUCUUUCGCAGAAGUGAUACCGGAUUCGAAAAAACUGUUGGUUCAGGAACCAGUGACCGGUGCCCCAUACGAUCCUCUCUUUGAUAGCAUCGAACCAUCUCCGGACACUUCGAAGAUCCGUGUAGAGGAACAGAAUUCAGGGAUCAAUGACACUGGCAGCGCAUCAAAAUUAAACUCGAGCAAGCUUGCCAAGUUGGGGAGUAAGAAGCAUAAAGGGGGAUCAGUUACUGAGCUGAAGGCGGAAGUUGAUGAAUUCGGCGAGGUUGCAACAGAUGCAGAUGCUGGCGGUGUUGAAAAUGAGAGCCCUCAGCUACUUGAUAAAGAUUGGAGUCCUGGAAUUCCUUUUGAUGAUGGUGAGAUAAAUGUAGGAGAAAUUGAGAUCAGUCAGGUCAGGUCGCCUGGUAAAAGCAAAAAGAACAGGGAUUCAAGGUCAAUGAGGCUUUUCAAGAUCGCCCUUGCUGAUUUUGCCAAGGAGGUUCUCAAGCCCUCAUGGCGUCAGGGGAAUCUGAGCAAAGAGGCGUUUAAGACCAUUGUGAAGAAAACCGUUGAUAAGGUGGCUGGAGCUGUGCCGAGUCAUCAUAUACCGAAGUCGCAAUCGAAGAUCAAUCAGUAUGUGGAGUCAUCUCAACGCAAACUGACCAAGUUGGUGAUGGGCUAUGUUGACAAAUAUGUCAAGCUGUGAGCUAUGGCGGUUACUUUCACAAGUCAACUCAUCGAAAUCCUUCACUUUUGAUCCUUCUGUAGCAUCGUCCAUCUAAACCUCCAGUGGCAUGAAAUCUGAUUUUGAGAAAGGUAUCAAAACCUCGUGAUGAAGUCCAUCAUGGCUCGCUGGUUAUCUAUUUCGCUGGGGCUUUUCCACAUUGGGUGUUUUAGCUGACUAGAUUUCUAAAUGGAGUACUGGGAAAGGGUAAUAUGCAUAAGCUGCUGAACUUUGGAGGCCUGUUGCUGGAGAAUAGGUGAUUUCUGAUGGUUUAUGCACUUUGAAAUGGGAAUUGUAUUAGAACAUUCUGGAAUCUUCUCUUGGUUUUAUUUGUUAGUUAUGUCCAUACGGUGAGAUCUAUGAUGUGUUGGAUCAUAGUUUGUUUGUCUAUAAAUGUUUGAAGGAAACAUUUUUACAUACA